AUGCAAGUCGGACGGUAGCACAGAGGAGCUUGCUCCUCGGGUGACGAGUGGCGGACGGGUGAGUAAUGUCUGGGGAUCUGCCCGAUAGAGGGGGAUAACCACUGGAAACGGUGGCUAAUACCGCAUAACGUCGCAAGACCAAAGAGGGGGACCUUCGGGCCUCUCACUAUCGGAUGAACCCAGAUGGGAUUAGCUAGUAGGUGGGGUAACGGCUCACCUAGGCGACGAUCCCUAGCUGGUCUGAGAGGAUGACCAGCCACACUGGAACUGAGACACGGUCCAGACUCCUACGGGAGGCAGCAGUGGGGAAUAUUGCACAAUGGGCGCAAGCCUGAUGCAGCCAUGCCGCGUGUAUGAAGAAGGCCUUCGGGUUGUAAAGUACUUUCAGCGGGGAGGAAGGUGUNGUGGUUAAUAACCACAGUAAUUGACGUUACCCGCAGAAGAAGCACCGGCUAACUCCGUGCCAGCAGCCGCGGUAAUACGGAGGGUGCAAGCGUUAAUCGGAAUUACUGGGCGUAAAGCGCA
rnacentral:rRNA from 1 species